AAAAAAAAAGAUGUUUUGAGUGAUGAAUGAUGAUGUUCUCAACUCGUCUUGGGGUUAAUUGAAGAAAUCGAAAAACAACGGGAAGGGAACUCGUAGACUCGGAAGCAAUUCCGAUUCAACUCGGCGUGCACGAGGUGGCGAGUUGUCGGAAUCAAUGUAAAUUCGAACCGUGAACUCAACGGAAAGCGAGUGAAAUUCGUCUUCAGAUCCAACUGCGAAGACCAUUUUCAUUUUAUUCGAGGUUUGCUUGAGAAAUCGAACUAUGGAGGAGGAAGGUUGUUUGAUUUCCAAAGCAGUAGCAGCGACGGCCUGCACGGCCAUGGCUCUGUUUUAUGUCGCCGUUCUCUAUGCUCCUGCUUUGAUUCUUCGUCUACCACCUCCUCCUUCUCUUCAAGUUUACAUGAUUCGACGGUUCCUGUGCGCCUUCAUUUCCACCGCCGUCUCAGUCGUCGUCUGCGCUCUAAUCCUUCCUAUAAGGAAAAUGGAGUUUUCACUGUUAUUGGCAGCUUAUGGUAUCCGAGCAGAUCAUAUUUGGCAAGCUGUGAUCUUUCCUCUCUCAUUGACUUCUUUAUUGUACGCUGGAUCAAUGGUCUUAAAGUAUUUGUUAUUGGUGGAUUCAUGGAGAGAACAUAUGAAUCAUGGAGAAGGCUCCCUUUUGAACUGUGCCAGACUUUUUUGGACAAGAGUUCUUGAUUGGGGGCUAUUGACUGUCUCAAAUGUUUUAGCUUGGAGAAAUUAUGUUGUAGCUCCACUAACUGAGGAGUUGGUGUUUAGAGCAUGCAUGAUACCAGUUCUUCUAUCUGGGGGAUUUAAGCCGACCACUGUGAUAUUUCUCUGCGCCAUUCUUUUCAGUCUGGCGCAUUUAAACCACUUUAUGGAGUACUAUAGCAAGCAGAACAACAACUUAACCAAAGCGGUUAUGGUUGUAGGUCUCCAGCUUGGGUAUACUGUGGUAUUUGGAUCAUACGCAAGUUUUCUCUUUGUGCGAACUGGUAGAAAGAGAUUGAUUUUAACUGAUGAAUUUGCACCAGCUUCAAGCUGGAAUUGGAGUAGAAUUAGUGUCGAGCUCUAAAUGUGCUACUAGAAGCUCAUCAAAUUUCACAUAUGAAGUUGUAUUUAUAUCUUUUCCAAUAAUCUUCUAUGUAGUUUUAGUCUAGGGCAGUAUCGACUUUUGUUUCAUGAGAAGUAUGUGUACUGGCAUUAAUGCCUUUCUUGAUAAGCAAAUUGAUGAUAGUUGAUUUUCUCACCAAACUGAUUUAAAGAUGCUAAUUGGAAGGGUGAUGUUUAAUUUAACAUCUAAUAUUAGUGAUUAUUCUUAUUAAUAUUAAGAGUACAGGGACUAUGGGACAAUAUCUUUUGGUGCUUUCCUUUAGAACUCUUAUGCCAAGAAUUUUGUUAUGAACGAAUAUCCUUCCUUGAUCACUUCCAAUUGGAAAGGUUUGUUCAUAACCUUCAGUGAAAUGUAUAUAUAUUCCCUUUCAUGGAAAGUAGAAAGAUGACAUCUAAGAUAGUUUUAUUGGACUUGGUUCACUUACCUAGCCACUAAUGUUUUUGCGUUUUUAACUAAGAGCUGAGGGUGGAUUUGUUGGAAGUGUUUGGAAUGCCUUCUAGUUUAACCAUUUUUUAAAAAUAUAUUUUCUAUAAAAUGUGAUUAUAUCUUACAUUUUCUAAAACUGCUUAAAAGGUAGUAUAUUAAUUACUAGUAUGUUUUGUUUUCAUACUACAUAUUCUGUGGAUUUUUGGCUGAUCAUUUUUAAAUCAUUUUUGGUUAAAUUGAUCCAAAUUUUUAAGGAGCUUUUUAUUUAUUAAGAUUUGAAGGAAAAAAAAAAAAAAAAAAAAAAAAAAAAAAAAAAAAAAAAAAAACUGUCAAUCAUGAAGAAGCUAUACUAAACACAUCUUAAAUUAUUCGUUUUUCCAAGUUGUUUAUGUUAAAAAUGAUUGUAUUUCAAAAGAUAUUCCGAAAACACUAAAGUUUCUUAUAAAGAAAUCGCACUAAUGCCGGGAUAUCUUUUGCAGGUCAUCUUCUUGCUCCGUUAGUUGCUCAUGUUUUUUGCAACUUUAUGGGGUUACCUGCACUUUUUUCUCGAAGGAGAGGGAUGGUGAGCUUGGCAUUUCUAGUUGGAAUGGUGGGGUUCCUAUGGCUUCUUUUUCCCAUGACAAGUCCA